CAUAUCUUUUUAUGAUGGACAGCAUCUCUAAGCCUGAGCGAGAUCUUAGAAUCGUCCACCAGCAACAAGGACACGGAAGGAAAGGAGAGUGAAGAGGAGAAGGAGGUGCUAAGGGUGGUCAAGUAACCAUGGUGUCCUACCUCGUCAACAACCCCAACAACAUGUUGGUCCCCGCACCAGACCUAGAGUAUCUCGGCUCACACACCCACUCCCUUGACAUCUCUCAGGCUCCAAGAGUUCCAUUCCAAGCCCUGGCUAUGGUGGAGCCAGACAGAGUACCCUCCAACAUCACAAAAAGCUGUCUCCGGAAUCUCCAAGCAGAGGCUGAGCCCCCUACAGCGUAAACGCUUCACUGCAGACGGUCUAGACAGACCUGCUGCCCCCCCCCCCCCCCCUUCCACCUGUACCAGCUCCUGGAGUGCAUUAUGGAAGAGGCGGAGGUUAAGCUGAACGAGCUGGGCCAGGCUGAACUGGAAGAGGUGGCUGCAGCUACAGUAUGGUCCAUUUUGUGUCUACCACAGUUUCCAACACUGUCAGGAAAAGACAAGCACUGCUGUGAAGGAUCCUGCCCGACCCAAAUACUUCAAAUGGCACAAUUACAUAAGCGGCUAUCUGUUUGACAGGUGUUUAUCGAAAGGAAACAACAAGAACACUAUCCCUCACAAAAACAGUGAGUAAAGUGAUUGUUUGAUUGAAACGGUUUUAUCAUAAACUAAUAAUUAAUUACAUGUUGACUACAUACAGCACAGUAUUUCCUGAUAUGCUUUA